rnacentral:rRNA from 1 species
UUAGAGUUUGAUCCUGGCUCAGAUUGAACGCUGGCGGCAGGCUUAACACAUGCAAGUCGAGCGGAGAGAGGUAGCUUGCUACUGAUCUUAGCGGCGGACGGGUGAGUAAUACUUAGGAAUCUGGCUAUUAGUGGGGGACAACAUUUCGAAAGGGAUGCUAAUACCGCAUACGUCCUACGGGAGAAAGCAGGGGAUCUUCGGACCUUGCGCUAAUAGAUGAGCCUAAGUCGGAUUAGCUAGUUGGUGGGGUAAAGGCCUACCAAGGCGACGAUCUGUAGCGGGUCUGAGAGGAUGAUC